rnacentral:tRNA from 1 species
AAAUGUAUGGCUUAGUGGUCAGAGCACUUCGACGGUUCCCAAGAAGCAUGGGUUCAAAUCCCACUACGUUCA